AGCAUCAGUCGUCUGAUCUGUGAAACGGGGCAAGGAUAGUACGAGCAACGUGCCAUGCGAAUCUCAAUUUUUACCUGGGCACAUUGCAACUAUAAAUAAAGAUUACAUUUCCUAGGAUCCUUUGAGGUUGGGUGUGGCUACACAUCUAAAUUUUGACCAAUGGCAUGAAAGCAGAAGUGGGCUUACAUCCUCUUCUCCUUCUCCUUUCUGCUGCCUGGAAUGCAGACAUGAUGGCUGGAGCUCCAGGCAGCGCUUUUGGGCUGUGGAGCCUGUGCUAUGCAGAGAGGUAAAGAGACAGUCUCUGAAACUACCAUCCAGCCAAACUGCCUACAUCCAUAUUUCUUUUAUGAGUGAGAAAUAAACUUCCAACCUUUUUAA